rnacentral:rRNA from 1 species
UGGGGAAUAUUGCACAAUGGGGGAAACCCUGAUGCAGCGACGCCGCGUGAGCGAAGAAGGUUUUCGAAUCGUAAAGCUCUGUCCUAUGAGAAGAUAAUGACGGUACCGGAAUAGAAAGCCACGGCUAACUACGUGCCAGCAGCCGCGGUAAUACGUAGGUGGCAAGCGUUGUCCGGAAUUAUUGGGCGUAAAGCGCGCGCAGGCGGACUAGCCAGUCAGUCUUAAAAGUUCGGGGCUUAACCCCGUGAUGGGAUUGAAACUACUAGUCUAGAGUAUCGGAGAGGAAAGUGGAAUUCCUAGUGUAGCGGUGAAAUGCGUAGAUAUUAGGAAGAACACCAGUGGCGAAGGCGACUUUCUGGACGAACACUGACGCUGAGGCGCGAAAGCCAGGGGAGCGAACGGG